rnacentral:lncRNA from 1 species
CUCUAAGACUAAAAUGACCUAAGUUGCAAGGACUGGGUGAUCUCAGUUUCUCUGGAAAGUACAGUGUUGUUUUUCAUGGUUGGUAGUAAACAAAGAGCAGAACGCACCACUUGUAACACUUAUAUAAAACAACCCUUCAGUUUAUGACCUAUUGUCCAAAUUAAUGGCGGCUCACAGGGAACCUAUCUAUGGGUGGUGAUGCUGAAUCUAAUAAAAUGCAGCAUUCACAAUUUCUGUAAAAGGCAAUAGUAGCUAGAUCCAACCAUUGCUGUGGUUGCAUUGAGGAUGAACACUUCCACUGUCAAGACAGAAAAGACAUUAUUUCAAUAUGCCUUAAAAGUAUGGAAGGUCUGGAGUUCUCUUGUGAUGCGGUGGGUUAAGGAUCCAGCAUCAUCACUGCAGCGGUUUGGAUUACUGCUGUGGCACAGAUUUGAUCCCUGGUCUGGGAACUUCCACAUGCCCUGGGUGAGACUGGAAAAAAAAAAAAAAAAAAAGUAUGGAAGAUCUAUAUUCCAAAGAGAUCAGUAGUAUUAAUAUAUUAUAUUAAUCUCUUGCCAUUAUUUGAAGCACAGAUAGGUAACUAAUGAAAAAUAACUGAGAGAUAGUAGACUCAAUUCUUUCUGGUGUGUGAACUUUGGUGCAUGAACUCUUUUUGGUGCCCUAGUAAAAUAUAGGUAUAGAACUCUUUGAAAUUCUCAUUUAAUUCAAACACUGCUUUCUUUAUCUUUUUGUGUAAGUAGUAAAUUAUCAAAGAAACACCAGUGAUAUGGGGGCUAACAUUGGUAUCAGUCAAAACUGGACAGCUCAAAGAGAUUCAUAAACUCUGCCCUCAAUUUGUGUCUUUGACAUAGCUUCUUGUUUCCACAUAGACACUUGACAUUUGUUAUCUAUAAGAAAGGAAUGAAUUUAUACAAAGAACUGGUAUCCAUGGCCUAGAGAACUAGCAUGACAAAAUGACCAAGUAUAUUAGCAAUAACAAUAAUAAUUGAACUUGCCGUAAAUAGUACUUAAUGUGUCAGGAGUAGCUUUAAGCCCUUAAUGUAAAUUAACUCAUUUAUUCCUUGUAAAACCCUAUAAGGUAAUUAUUAUUUCCAAUUUACAGAGGAAAAAUCUAAAGAACAAUGAGAUAUAAGCAUUUUAACAUUACAUACUUAGGAAGUGCCAGAAUUUGGAUCUAGGCAUUCUGGCUCAGAGGCAACAUUUUACCCAUCUGAAUUCAUUCAAUUAGAUAAUCACUUUUUAAGUCUUUAAUCAAAUAUUUAUCAAAUAUGCACUAUGUUCUUGGACUCCAGGACAUACAUAAAUGAGUUAAUUAGAUAUGGUACCUGCUCUUAUAGAAUGUAAGAUCUAGCAGUAAACACAAACAUUAGAUAAUAACAUAAAUAAAUGUAAAACUGCAAUGUGACAGGUAUACAAGGAGUCAAUAAUGUGCCGUAAGAGUCAAUCAGGGAGACUGGGGGAAGUUUUGCUGAAGAACCUGACAUAUGCACUAGAUAUGAAGUACAGACAGACUUGAACUAGACGAAGAGGAAAGGAAGAAAUUUCAAGGCAGAGAAAAUACUAUAUACAAAUCUCUAUUGUGAGUGGGAACAGGAAAAGUACUAGUAAUUGAGGGAAGGCCAGUGACAGGGCAAUCUAAGAGAGCAAGAGGGAGUCGAGUUCAAGACAACACUCAAAAUGUUGGUAGGUCCAGACUGGGCAGGAGUUUGGUAGGCCAUGUCAGGCUAUGUCUUUUCCUUAUGAUCUUUGCUGACACCUAAAAGAUUUUAAAUGGAGGCUGGAAUGGUAUAGAUUUGGAUAGGUUUGUGUUUGAAAAGGAUCACUCUAACUCUAAUUGAUAAUGGGUUGGAAGAGCACCAAUGGAUAUUACUAAAUGAGUGGGAAGAUGAUUAAGUGGUCCAGGGUAAGAGAUGAAGGUAGUCUGGACUGGAUUGAUGGUGGUGAUAAAGAGAAAUGGACAGAGCUAUAGCAGACAGAAAAAUCAAUAGGAUGCUCUUGCAAAAUUAUCGAAGUUAAUUUGAUCAUGCACAAUUAUUUUGUUCUUUUUGACAGGUAAAAGUAGCCACCAACUUUUGAGGUAGGUGAAGAGAGCGUUUACUCUGACAUAGCUUUGUUACUAGUUAUAAUGCAAGCAAGUAUUAGACCAAAUUGAGUCAUAAAAUAGACAUUUUAAACAUUAAAUAGUUAUUAGUAGGGAGGCUUACAACAAUAGUUUAUAAAUCUGUAAGAUUAAUUCAGUUCCAGCUCUCUUUUUAUUUGCUAUGAUGUAUUAGACGUCUAUUGCUGCAUAACAAAUUACCCCCAAACUUAGUGACUCAAAAUAACAAUAAAUAUUAUUAUCUUAUAGUUUCUAUAGAUAAGGGAUAAAUCAAGUUGGCUGGGUAGUUUUGGUUCAUGGUCUUCCAAAAGUCAAGAUGUUGGCUGGAGCUAUUGUUAACUGAAGGCUUGACUAGGCCUGGCUAGUUCAAAUGGCUCACUCACAUAGCUAGAAUGUUAGUGCUGACUAUUGGCAGUAUACCUGAUUUCCACCCCAUUCGGAUCCCUCCAUAAAAGCUUCACAGCAUGAUGGCUGUCUUCCUUCAAAAUAGAUAAUCCAAGAGAGAAAAAGGCAGAGUCUGUAACACCUUUUAAGACUUGGCCUUGGGAGUUCCCACUUGGCAGUGGUUAAUAUAUCCAACUAGGAACCAUGAGGUUGCAGGUUUGAUCCCUGGCCUUGCUCAGUGGGUUAAGGAUCUGGCGUUGCGUGAGCUGUGGUGUGCGUCGCAGACAUGGCUUGGAUCCUGCAUUGCUGUGGCUGUGGUGUAGGCCAGUGGCUACAGCUCCGAUUAGACCCCUAGCC